rnacentral:rRNA from 1 species
AGGUUUUCGCGUUGCUUCGAAUUAAACACAUGCUCCACCGCUGUGCGGGCCCCCGUCAAUUCCUUUGAGUUUCAACCUUGCGGUCGUACUCCCAGGCGGAGUGCUUAUUGCGUUAGCUGCGAUACAGAGAACUUAUAGCUCCCUACAUCUAGCACUCAUCGUUUACGGCGUGGACUACCAGGGUAUCUAAUCCUGUUUGCUCCCCACGCUUUCGAGCCUCAGUGUCAGUUACAGGCCAGAGAGCCGCUUUCGCCACCGGUGUUCCUCCAUAUAUCUACGCAUUUCACCGCUACACAUGGAAUUCCACUCUCCUCUCCUGCACUCAAGUCUACCAGUUUCCAAUGCAUACAAUGGUUGAGCCACUGCCUUUUACACCAGACUUAAUAAACCACCUGCGCUCGCUUUACGCCCAAUAAAUCCGGACAACGCUCGGGACCUACGUAUUACCGCGGCUGCUGGCACGUAGUUAGCCGUCCCUUUCUGGGUAGUUACCGUCACUUGAUGAGCUUUCCACUCUCACCAACGUUCUUCUCUACCAACAGAGUUUUACGAUCCGAAAACCUUCUUCACUCACGCGGCGUUGCUCGGUCAGACUUUCGUCCAUUGCCGAAGAUUCCCUACUGCUGCCUCCCGUAGGAGUUUGGGCCGUGUCUCAGUCCCAAUGUGGCCGAUCACCCUCUCAGGUCGGCUAUGUAUCAUCGCCUUGGUGAGCCUUUACCUCACCAACUAGCUAAUACAACGCGGGAUCAUCUUUGAGUGAUGCAAUUGCAUCUUUCAAACUUAAAACUUGUGUUUAAAGUUUUUAUGCGGUAUUAGCAUUCGUUUCCAAAUGUUGUCCCCCGCUCAAAGGCAGAUUCCCCACGCGUUACUCACCCGUUCGCUGCUCAUCCAGUCGGUACAAGUACCAACCUUCAGCGCUCAACUUGCAUGUAUAGC